rnacentral:tRNA from 1 species
UCCCUGGUGGUCCAGGGUCUGGGACUCCACACUCCCAACGCAGAGGCCUUAGGUUCAAUCCCUGGUCAGGGAA